UCGAGCAUCUGAAAUAAAUUUAUUUCCGUUGAUAGUUUGUACAAAAAUGUUUCUCUGGAUAUGCAAAUUAGUAUAUACUAGUCAUCGACCCGUGCAUGGCCGGUUUUCUAACAUUUUCUUUCUAUAUAAAUUAUGGAAAAAAUGUGCUUUCUGAUAUGAAGAACUAUACUUGAGAUGUGUGUGAAGCAUAUACGUUUAUGCACACUGAUAUUGGAAAAAUUAAGUAUGCAAAUAAUUCAAUCAAAAUCAUCAUAUAUUAAGUUUUCAGAUAACAAAGUGUCACAUUAUAUUGGACAAAGUUCAUUACAUGAAGAUCCAAUUAUCCAUGAAGACUUUCCCUAAGAAUAUGUUUGUUGGUCUCAUUUGGGAAGGAUGUAGAGCCACCAAAUACAUUGCUUAGUUUCUUAUACAUAGGUGUGACCUUUUAUGUGGGUGACCAUUUAAAAUAUGUUUAAAGAGCAUAAAAUUUGGUUAGUGGAGCAAUUUGAUCUCCAUCUCCAUAAAUAUUUGUUAUCUAUGCUGGUAUAUCUUGACUGAAAUAUGAUAAUGCUCGCUCAAAACGUAGUCGCUGCUUGGGAGAGCAAGGCGCAACUACGUAAUUAAGGUUACAUGUUGAUGUGGCUGUAAUUAGUUAGGCCAGGAUUAACGUCUACCUCUCCCUAUAGUUGAAUUUAGGGUGGGGUUGGAGAGAAUUUAGGAAGGUUACAUAAGUCGGUUAUGUUGAUUUACCUAGUUGUAGCAUUUUCACUUUCAAGUGCAAAAAAAUGCAUCAUAGUUGUUGUGGGAAUGCUUCUAUCGAGUCAAGAUAAAAUAGUGGUAUUUAGAAAUAUCAGACUAAGUAACCAUACAACAUGAUACCAAUAAUAGGAAUGAUUAUGUUCUACCUUAAUGCAACGGAAUAAACGUGGAGUAUAGUUUGCUGCUGGUUUUACUUUUCCAAUAGGGACAGGAAAAGGCCGUAUUUAGAGGUGUAGAUAGAUUGAGAUGAGCAUUUUUCCCUUUUAUUUUUCCAAUCAUGAAAUAGACUUGGAGUUGUAGAUGGAUUGAGAUAGAGAUGUGAGUUUUUUUCCAUUUUAUUAUUUCAUACGUGAAAGAGAUGUGGAGUUGUAGAUAGAUUGAGAAUGAGAUGUGAGUUAUAGUGCAGCGAACUUUUAGUCAUGUCGUAUUGCGUAUAAUUUUUUUUGUCAUUUCUAAAGCACAUUUAGUAGUUAAAGUGUAGCCAACUUUUUAUUUGACCAAAGAAAAUUUAAAUUUCAAUGGAAGCAGAUCCAAUUGAUAUCAAUGCACUGUCGACCAUGGUUAAAAUCAUGCUCCCACCAAGGAUCGGUCGCCAUAAGCUUGCACCUUUACUCCCCCACUGCCUCUGUCCAUGUUAUUAGCAUUAGGGCCUCCAUUUAGGAGAAUGAGUUCUCCAUCUCAAUAGUCAUCUCAAAAGAUAAUUUACUACCAUGUUUUUGCAUAAUAAAACGACGUGCAAAGCACGUACAGAUUACUAGUAAUACAAGUAUGUAUGUAAGCCUUUCCCUUAAAAACCAAGUUUAUUAGUAUGCUCCCUCGGACAUGAGGCUAGCCUUCCAGGUAGCAAUUUUUUUAUAUUAUGUCCUGGUAAUAAAUAAUUGAUUAUCAUACCCGAUUUAAUUAAUCUUGGCAGAUGUAGCAUAUCUGAUUGCUUAGCUCCAGCUUAUAUUAUAUUUUGUGCAUUCAAAUGGUUUUCUGUCUUAUCAACAUUUUGCAAGUAGUGGUAUGGAUGAUCGUGAGUGGAUGUACACUGGCCACCCUAGUCAGGCUGGCAUGACCUUUGAGUGGGUGGCCAAGACCAAUGAAUUCAUAGAGGCAACAUUUGCUAGUGGCAAGAGAAAAACUUGGUGUCCUUGUUUGGAGUGCAAAAACCACCGAGAACAGUCAAAGAAGACGACGUGUUUACAUCUGCAGAAGUAUGGGUUUAAGCCUGGGUAUACCCAAUGGACCUUUCAUGGCGAGACCGAACAUAGCAGAGAGGAGGUGGUGCAUCAGCGCACCAACGAUAAUGGUACCGGGAUCCAUGACAUUGUAGCUGGAUUCAAUGAUGCACGUGAUGUGGGAUCAUAGGAAGAACCAGAGGAGUCUGUGAGGGCAUUCUUAGAAAUGCUGAAUUCAUCACAACAACCUCUUCAUGACUACACAGAUCAGUGCCAGCUGGAUGCCAUCAGACAAGCAAUGUCUAUGAAGACCCAGUUCAACAUGAGCAGAGAUAACUUUAAUUCAAUGAUGACCUCUUGGGGUUGCUCUCUCCCUAAAGGUCACAAACUGCCUAAAAGUUGGUACGAAGCGAAGAAAACCCUUUGUGCACUUAAGAUGUUGUAUGAGCAGAUACACACUUGCCCAAACGGAUGUGUCUUAUUUAUGAAAGAGUAUGCAGGCGACAAGUACUGUGCCAAGUGCGACUCCUGUAGGUAUAUCGAGAGAGUCCUCAGUGUACGAAGAAGCAUACCAAAUUCCCAACAAAUGUUCUUCGGUAUCUUCCAAUACUUCCAAGAAUUUAACGGCUUUACUUGAACGAAGAUACAACUGAACAAAUGGUAUGGAACAAAUAUUGGAUAAGACGUGACAAGGAUGAUCAUGGGAGACCAUGUUGAUACAUCCAUCUUGUGCCCAAGCAUGGAAGAAUUUUGAUUGAUUACAUCCCGAGAAAGCAAAAGAGGCAAGGAAUGGACGAGUCGCCAUCAGACUUGAUGGGUUCAAUCCAUUUGGUUUUUUCUAAAAGACAUAUAGUUGUUGGCCUGUGUUUGUUGUUCCCCUCAACCUCCCCCGGGCGUCCUAAUGAAAUGCAAACACAUAUUCCUAUCGUUGAUAAUACCAGGGCCCAAGUAUCUGGGGAAGAAUAUAAAUGUGUACCUCGAUCCACUAAUAGAUGACUUGAAAGAAGCUUGGGUGAAUGGGAUACAGACAUACGACGCUGCUAGAGUGGACGAUUGGUGUUCCAAAGAGUAUAGAGUGACAAAUAAAGAUUAUAGAAAACGUCGAGUCACAAUGAAGUAUUCACCACACCAUCAAGGCAACUUAGGCCUUAAGGAGUUUGGGAAACGUUGGGUAUGUCUUUCUUCCCAUCGAUUUGUUCUUCAUAAGCUUUCGUUUGUCCUACAUGCUUUCAAUCAUAGUUGUCAAUCGUUGUGACGAAAUCUUAAUCAUGUUGCUUUGGUUGCUAGCAUCUCAGCAUAAUGUUCUAGAGCCUACACUUUUCCAGGUGUACGCUUUGGCCCAUAAGGCACCGUUCAGAUCUGCAACGCCGUAAAAUGACAGUCACACAUCAUCUGCGUACACUAGCAAGGCCGCCUACGAUCGGAUGGUCACAUUUAAAAGUAUGGCAAAAAAGAUGAAAGGGCUUGAGUAUGACGUAACAUCUGAGCCCCUUGACCACAUGUUGGUUAUGAUCACUGGAGGUGGUAGGAAACAUGGCACUGAAGCGAUUGCAGGAGGCAUGUUUCCUAAUUCCUCCCUUCGCACUCUCCCCGAGUACAAAGCUCGGUUAGGUAUCCCAAAAUCUUCUAUAUGUCAAUGCAAGACUCUAGCAGUGGUUGAGAUAGAGUCCCAAUUGGAGGAGGAGAGGUGACUAGCAGAUGAGAGGUUGGAGGCAAGGUUGGCGGAGGAGAGGCGACUCGCGGAGGAGAAGAGGGCGGAAGAGAGGCGACUCGUGGAGGAGUAUAGGGUGGAGGAUAAGCGACAAGCAGGACAUGGAUCGAAUAAGGAUGUCUAUUCACAUGCACCAGGCCCAAGUGGAAAUAACCUUGGUGGUUCUCCUUAUCUUUGAGAUCGACUAAGAUUAUUUCAUCUUGUAGGUUGCCACCUGGAUGCUCAUUGGACUACGGCAUGGACAUGAAGACACUUGUUGUAGUGGCAAAUCUUAUGUAGGAUGCUUGCUUUGUUCGUUGUGUAUCAUCUUUGUUAUGUAACUAUGCUAUAUAUGCAUCUUUGUUA